CCUUCAGAGUUGUUGGAAAACCUUUAGUUUCCUUUCAAAAUCUACAUUUUCUAUGUCAGACUAUACAAGAAAAUACUCCCCCAAACGUAGGCCAUGGAUUACAAACAAGAUUUUUAAAGUUGCUUACACAUUUUUUUUUUUUCCAAUUUCAAAUUAGGAUGCAAAAAUGAGUACACCCCAAUCAAAGUUCUGGGAGCAAAGCUAAAUUUUAGUUACCAUAUCACCCUGAUUUUCAUCUUAUGGUAAAUAAAAUGUUAUGUUAAACUUUGGAAAUUGUACUUUUGCUCAUCAAGAUAUUGAGAAAUACAUUACUUUUAAUAGGGGGUGUACUGACUUACGGUGGGCACUGUAUAUUCUGUAGAAUUUAGCUGCAUUUUUUCCAAAGAAUUGGAAUCUAUGAUACAGAAAGUGUUUCCGCUAUUGUUAUUUCUGUGUGGCGCAUCUUUUACAUCCAAAAAUUCGGACAUCCUUUUACUUUUCAAAAGUUCGUUUUGUGGCUGUUUAGGUAACAUUGGCUCACAAAUAUGCAGCAACCUGCAGAAGUGCUAAAAACUGCAGUUCCACAAGUACCCACUUGGGGUUGUUUGCAGAAGAAAAUUGAGAGGGCUGCAGACCUCCACUGAGAUGACCAGAGGUGACCUUUUUUCUCACGCACUCCAGUUUGUUUGAAGUGAUCAUCCUGUUUUGUAUUUUCUCUUUGUUGAACACAUAAAUACAUAAAAUAAAGCCCCAAGAAAAAAAAUUAUAAUCAGAAGACACAAAAAACAUGCACUUCUGGUGUAAUUGCUUUUUAUUUGAAAGGCUCCGACUCAACUUCAGGCGUGAAAAAAAAAAAAAUGUAUUCCCUGUAUAUUUGCUUUUAUUUUGAAAGGCUUCAAACCAUUUCCAGGCCACUCGGUGGAGGUGGGUCCUCUCAGUGGAGGUCUGCAGCUAGACUGUCUUAGGAAAAUUAGAGGUCUGGCUAACUGGACUGACAGAAGUGCUCACUGUCACCAUUUGUGAGGAGGCUAAAGGCUCACCUCUGGAGGGUUUACGAAUGUUAAAUUUAGUCACUAUUACCAGUAUGGUGAGCGCUUCAGAUUGACUCUGAAACGAGUGACAUCCCUGACACUGUCCAGUUAUUACACCGUCUUAUGGUCAUGUGAAGAUUAACCAUUUUAUAUUCUCAAACUCAGGAAUCAAGUCAUGUUGAUUUGAAAUAAAAGGCAGAAACUUUUCCUAAAGUCUGCCUGUCUCUAGACUUUGCAGAAAAGGAGAUCUGUCCAUCAACUAUAAGGUUACUUUGACCUGAUAAGACCUCAUGAUGGAACCUGUGCUCUGCAUUAGCAAGCAGCAGCAUGAGCGUCGUCUUGAUGUCGAAGGUCAUCUGAAUUUCAAAUAAACUUAUAUUUUGAACUCUUGUUUCAACAUUUGAUAUGUCUUCUUUGUGCUUAAAAAAUACAAAGUAAAACAAUAAGAAAAGAAAGAAAGGGUCAUAAACACAAAGUGUUGAAACAAUUACACGUUAAGAAUGAGGAGCAUUUAAAAAAGAGAUUUUGAAAUGUUGGAGGACUUCAUAUCAGAGCACAUUGCUCUAAAGUGUGUAGGCUUAAUCAGCUGCAGGCAGGUCUCUCCAUCACAAACUGUUAUAUUGGUAUAAAAAUUGAUUUGAAAUGAACGAACAUGGAGCUGGCGUUGGAAGGCAAGCACAGGGGUAAUAAUAUCGCUCUCUCGGUAAUGAGUAAGGCUGCAGCAUUGCUUCCAUGAAAAAGGAAAAAAAUAUCAAAGGGUACAUUUUAACAAGCCAGAGAAAUAUAUUUAAUAAUUAUCAAUAAUGAAGGAGGUAUUUUAAUUUUAUUUGGUGACCUGCCUGCUAGGCUUUGACUCACAAACGUUACAGGUUUACAAGUCUUUGGAUUUAUAGAGUAAUUUCACUCCAUUUUUCUCUCAGGGAGAAAAGGAGGGCUGCUGUUUAACCUACACGGUAACGUUUAACGAAAAGUUAUUGAAAGACAAAGUACUUUGUUCACACACACUUGAGGAUCCAGCUUGACUGUUAAGCAAACACUAUCGGCUUUAUUUGCCAACUUGACUUCGAAGGCUGUUCAUCUUCAGGCACUUUGGAAGCUUAAUUAAUUUACCAGCAUUAGCUCUGUCUGAUAAUAACAGCUUAAGAUUAUUUGAUUUGUAAGUGAAGCAGUCAGGGGGUUUUGAGUAUUAAUAAGCCUAAUUAAACUUCACUUAAAUGGCCUGAUCUGAUGAUUUUUUUUGCACAAAUUUAAAUCGUCCAUAGACGUGAAGUUGAAAAGUGAAGUGAGGACACUCUUUGAACAUGAGAAGUAUUUUCUUAAGUUAGAGCUAUGGUCUGAUGUGGUUGCGUUUGUCUGUCUGCUUGAGGUUUUGAAGGAAGACACCAGCUGUUUGUGCUGCCCAGAAUUUGUCCUGCCUGCAGAGACAGCCUUCAAGCUGUCCUCUUAUUUAUUAAAAGAUUAGUUCGGGCAGCAUCAAAACAUGUUAAAGGUGGACUUAAAGGUCCAAACUGUAUUAAAAAGAAUACAAAUAUAGUCAAAUUUGACAUGAGAACAGCAACACACAAAGGUGAUCAAUGAAAUAAUUGAAACACAUUUGGACAGGUGUUUCACUAACUCAGGAAAAAAGAAGAAGCAAGCCUUCUGCUGCUGUGUGUGGGCUCAAUGAGGAACAUCAUGACUACACCUUAACUCCGGUAAUUGACGUAAACUUGGAGAUAAUGAAUUCCUUAACAGAGCUGAGGUUGUGGGAGCUUUUACAAACUGAAACAUAUGGCUUGAACUUCUCCAUCUGUGGAGCUAAACAAGACUCUAAACGCACCAUUUAAUCCCACUCAAAGUUUCGUGUUUCUAUAGCUACGAUUCAAUGAGCCUGUGUCGAGCAAGAGGCUGGCACUCAUCUAGAAUAUGUAAUUGACCAUAUGGUUAGCAAAAAUGAUGAUGAUGGACGGUUGUUCCAGAGUCGAGGGGCUCUGAUGAAAAAAGCAUGACUUAAGGUCCUUAAACACCGGGAAUGACACAAAUAUACAAGGCACGAAAUUACGAAAAUAUUCAGAGGCGAAUUUUGACUACACACAUCAAGCGCGAUGUGAUUUUGCGACUUUCCGGGGGCAAAAAAGAUGCGUCAUGGGUGGAAGCGAGAAGACUGACACAACACCAGACUGACUGUUUUUCAGUUCUGAUUAGACACUAGUGUUGAGAUGACUGUCUGUCAUGACAGCAUGUACUGAGUCGGGCCAGUACCAGAUAAGUAAAUUAAACUAUAAUCCAUAAACGUAAGGUAACAACCGAGCUCUAAUGGUGCUGUGACAGCAACACGAUUGAGUUUGAGACAGUGAAAUUACAUAUGGUAUGUUGUAUCUGAACAGGUUAGCUUACGAGCUAAAGUUACUUAGCACAGAUGAAAGUUAAAACAAAGACGUUUAGCAAACUGUUAAAGCACACAAACUAUCGUCAUAUGAGAAAUCCGACAUUAUGACUCUCCACAAGUUGUCCUUCAGGUCAUUAUCUUUGUAAUGUUUGUGUCUUUUAUCAAAAAGCACUCUGUUCUCCGACACGUUAACAACCAGCCAGUCGGCCAUGUUGGAUAUACCGGUGAAUCUGACGUCACAACAACACGCAAUCUGAUUGGUCAGAAGUGGACACACAGUUUGCGAAACUUUAGAAAAAUCGACUGUGAUACGAAAAAAAAUAAAUGCCGCAAUAUCGCAGGACGGGAAAAAGUCGCUGAUGUGAACGCUUGUAUUGACAGGAUAUGGGUUCGAAAAAAAAUAUUGACGUCCGAAAUAAUCGCACGAAAAAAACGCUCCCAGUGUGAAAAGACCUUUACUUUGGAUUUGAGCUUCCAUGUUGGACUGACCAGCAAGGUUUCACCUGAGGAUCUCAUACUGCAGGACGACUCAUAUGGUGUCAUCAUUUUUAUGAUGUAAUUAGGGACAAGACUCAGAUGAUCUUUAAAAAUGAUCAGUAAAAUCUUAAAAUCAAUUCUGAAACACACAGGGAGCCAGUGGAGGGAGGCAAGGACAGGAGUGAUGUGAUGUGACAAGUUGGAGGCGAGAGUGCUCUGACACAAGUGACCUGUGCUCUUUGAGUAACAUACUUGACAGAGCAGGAAUUGAAAUCAGUCAAAAAAAAAAAAAAAGAAAUUAAAAUACAUGCAUAGACACAAACACUUCAGUGUGUCACUGAGUUUUUUUUCUUUUGAAGGACAGUUGCAUUUACCUUUUCAGAGAGCUUUGAAAGCUCCCUUCAAAGGGAAAGUUGAUGACAAAUUGACCUUCAGUUGCUAAAAAUAAAUAUCAUCAUCAAUCAUGAUUUUGUGUAGCUGCAAAACAAGAAAAAAAAGGAAAGAAAAAAGCUGUCAAACCUUAACUACCCUGAAAGGUAACUCUUAUACAAAGGUUCGAGGUGUCUUAAAGCUGCACUGUGUAAUGAGGACAUUUAGUGACAUCUAGCAGUGAGAUUUUAAAAAAUGGAACAUCUACUCAUUCCGUCACCGCGGUAACAGUGAGAACAUUCAUUUCAUUUCAUAUAUUUUAAUUGAACAUAAAGUGGGAACUGAGAUAUCCAUUAUAAGUUUUUAAUUGUUUUAGUAACACAAGCUGAUAUAAGCAAACUAAUGCAAACCAAAACCAACAUUUCUUGAUGACAACGGAGUAUGAAAGGACUGUAUAAAAAAUAAGUGUUAUAAAGUCACUUUCCUAACAAAAUAAAGUCAAAGUAAAAUAAUUUCCCUACAAGAAUAAAGUCACAGUAAGGUUAUGUCAUGAGAAUAACAUAACCCCACAACCAAUCCAAUUCAAUCCGUUUCAUUUACAUAGCAUGAUUGAAGCAAACACAAGAUUUCCAAAGCGCUGCACAGCAAGAUAAAGAUACACUACAUAACAAUAGUACAAUGGAUAAGAUAAAAAAUGAAAUGAGAUAAAACACAGUAAUAAAGUCAUAAAGUAAAAGUAAAGUAAAAAAAAGUAAAGUCAACAUAUCAUGACAAUAAAGUCUUCAUAAAGUUAUAGUUUUGGUUUAUGGUGAGCAGCCAGACGUCUGUGCCAAAGUGGGGAUCAAGUGUUUCUAAUGUUUUGGCAUCUAAGCACCACAUUGCUAUGAGGACUCUGAGAGGACUGUGUAAAAAGCUAAGAUAUGUGUUAGCCCCCUUUAAAACAGCAUUAUGAGCCUUGUCACCCCAGAAUCCCACUCUCACGCCAGAAUCUUACCUUCCCCCUCAAGCCCCUUCUUCUGCCCCCUUCCCACUUUCCCCCUUUUGUGGGUUUUCACCAGGUCGCUCUGGUUUCUCCACAAAUCUAAUAACCAAAAGCAAAUGAAAACUGAACUGUAAAAGUAAAUCUAAAUUUGGCUUUUAAAACUGUCACUUGUGUUGCAAAGAUAGAGGGGAAAAAAAAAUAAUGAGUAACUGGAACAUCAUCACCUUAUAGCUGACUCUUAUCAUUCUAAUGAAACAUAAACAGUUUGUUUGACAGCCAAACAAACUGAGAUUGUUCAGGCUUAAUUUUCAAAUAAGCUAAUAAAGGUUCUCUCACCCGUCCAGCAGAAAACUGACAAUUUCAUUGUUCAUCUUUAAGCAUAAGGAUUUUCCAUCUUUUAAAGGUAACACUAAUGUUAACCCUUAGUUUCUGCUCACCCCCUUCCAGUUUUGUUUCACUUUGUCAUGUUUUGAUUUUUUGGACUUAAACUCUAAUUCAAUCCUAUUCUCUAUGCAAUGUACCUUUAAAUUGAAACCCAGACCAAACUUCAGAUCCAUCAAUAUUUUACAGUUUAUUAUAAUAAUUCCAUCCUAAUCAUGUUGAAUUAUUUAUGGUCAGUGAAUUUCAGCAUGAGAAAAUAUCAUUUUGAAAGACAGCAUAUAUUUAAUGGGAUCAAGAAGAAGUAUAUUUCAGUGCUCAGGUUCUCUGUUUUUCUGUCUUGAGCACAUACUGAGCAGCAGCUGGGCCCACACAGAGUUAUCAAUACAGCUCCCUGUCGGUAACGCAUAUAACACAGCCUGCAGGUGACAAGAAGAACCCCCCCAAGCAGCCAAACAGCAGCAGUGCAGUAUCAACAGAAAGCAUCAACAGGCUAACAAGACAGUGCAGUGCAAGGCAGAGAUUAAAUAUUAAAUAUCAGCAUGAUGGCUGUCUGCCCCCAAAAGAUUCACUCAGUUCACCUCAGAAAACUUUAGAAAUAACAGAAGUUUGUUUAAAAAAAUAAAAAACAGCUCAAAUGUGAUUCACUUUGGUUGCCAAUGUUCCUGCGAUGCUUUCCAGAGCAGCAGGGGGAAAUGAGGACAGAGAGUGAUCCAUGCAAACCAACAAAACUACACCAAAGGUACAGAGCAAUAUGUUGAUGUGGCUGAGACUGUACUAAGGCUCCUAUAACACAAUCAUCUGAUUUAAAUAUUUAAAAGUCUGUUUGCAUUUAUGUACUUAUGGCUAUCUAUCUGAAUCCGAACUGCUGGGGCUCCUUUUCUCUUGAUAUUCUGACACUACAGCCACUUCAGAUCCACCGCAGCAGCUCCUGAGCUCCUUUGCCCACCCCACGCUGAGCUCAAUAACCAGUGCGAGCACUUCCUCACGCCUCUUCAGCCCUUGACUGUAGUGCUGCACACUAAACACUCUUUGAGCUGAACUGGUGAUCAAAGUCAACAGAACAAGAGUAUAUCACAACUACCAUCAGCCAUAGUGGUGACUGAAACGUUGGAAGUGUCUCCAAGAUAUGAUAAACAUUAAAGCAGUCGUAGCUGGAGUUCGUUAAGGAAUUCAAAAUUACCUGAAAGCACAGCUGUGACCAACUUUUAACCCUCCUCCUGUGUUAGGGUCUGCACCGACCCGUUUUUGAGACUUUUUGACUCUGUCAGGAACCUCUAUUUCAACAAAAUUUAAAUUUAAAAAAAUUAAAAAAAAAUUGACUAAAUUAUUAAAUGCUGCUAUUAAAAUUAUGGCACUUUUCGUGUUAGGGUCGCUGUUGACCCGGUUAGAUCAAUAUCUAAUAAUCAGAGCAAAAACUGAAAUCAUAAGUGCACUUACAGUCAGAUCCCCUUUCGAUCAUGUGAGAUUUAGGAAAUUCUCAUUUUUGCCAUGUCUUUCCCAGCACAAAAAACAACAUUGGGCAUGUCCAGACAUGUGAGAUCAAUUUAGUAUAGAUGUCUGUGUGAGGGAUAUACUGACAAAGAUAGGCUCAGAGGACCACUACAAAAAAUAUUAUAACCAAUAUUUUCAUGGAUAAUGACGCCUAACAAGGUAACCUAGAGAUGAGAACCAAAUUGGAUGAUAGAAAUUUGUUUUUAGUGUAAUUUACAGCUGAUUUAAGACACGGGUUAAACCAACCCUUAAUAUGGUGGGUGUGUAGUAAAAGCUAACACAGGAGGAAGGUUAAGUCAAGAACAAGGCAGCAA